UGCUGGACUCAAUUUCUUUUGGUUGAUUGUUCCUUUUAGUAGUCUACCACUCAAAUGUACUUAUAUUCUGUAGACCAAAGGCUAAAUCUCCACCUCAAGAUGCUUUACUAAAACUGGAAACAGAGCAAACUUUCACUGAACUAUCUCAAGAGAGCUCCAUGUUUGUUUUUAAGCUGGGUUUAGUUAAGCUCCAAUGCUGCCUCUUGAUGAAUGGGCUUGUUGUUGAUGCUAAUGAGAUUUCUGUCAGCAUGUCGUAUAUGCUCUUACAAGAGAUAUGGGUUCUUAAGUUGGAUUCUUCAUGAUCUCCCAUGACCAUUAGCACAAGAAUGACAUAUUUAGUUUAGAAGGCAAAGUUGAUUAUUCUUCUUUGUAACUUUACAUAUGAUUGGCUACUUUUCUUCUCUUUUACUUUUGAUCCCUGGUUUUGUGACUCUCUUCCAGGUAAAUCAACCCUUUAGCCUUACUAGGCUUCUGUCACUCCUAGUUUUCAAAAUUUGUAAAGUCUUACGUCUCAUGAACGAUGAAAGGGAUGUGAUGAAUCAUUGUGUCAUUCACAUCA